UUAAUGUCGCCUCUCGCCUUAAUAACACUGGUAAUAAUCAAUUGUUAUAUCAUUUAUCUAACUAGUAAUUUUCACAAUUAUUUUGGUACUUAGCUUCCAAUUUGACCUAGUAGAGUUGACAAUUUUACCCUAUCUUGACAAAGAACCUAUGCCUCAACCUAAACUUGGCAAGAAAAGGUUUAAGGUAGGGCUGAGCAAUUUUCAAUUUAAACUGAAAAACCAAAUCAAACUGAACCAAUUCGGUUCAAUUAGUUCAGUUUUUCAGAUUAAACAAUUUGGUUAGUUUUAUGUUUGUGAUAAUUUCGACCAUUCGGUUCAAUUCGGUUAUUUUGAUAAAAAAAAAAAAACCGAACUGAACCAUAAUCCUAUACUACACACUUUUUGGGUCCUAUAAAUAUUCUCUAGUCCCCUGCCCUCUGAUCAUCUUCACUUUCCUUUCUUCUUAGUCCCUGUGACACGAUUUCUUUUCAAAACUACUUCUUACUUCUUCACCUUCACUUUAACCCACCUCCACCUCCACGAUUCCAUCUCACCUUUGUCUCCCAUAGGCCGCAUCUCACCUCAAGACUCCAAAGCAUCAUUAAAUUUCACCAUCAGAGAGAGACCCAUUGCUUCGCAUUGCACCAGUGUCAUGAGCAUUGCACCACAUGGUUCGCACCAUUGAUGCUCACCUAGUCACCUCGACCCAUCAAAGACCCAUGCAAACACAUGCUCACCUCGAUGCCAUCCAUCGUCCUUUGUCCCAUUGUGUGCCUCAUAGCAUGCCAUCAUCACUCUCUCCAUUGAUUUUUUAUUGAUUGAAACUUUCUUCAAAUCUGUUAAAUGUAAUUUGUUUUUAUGAAUACUAGAAUUAAUUGAUUGAUUUUGUUGCUAUAAAUACUUUUGAUGAGUCGAUUGAAUCUGUGAAAUGUUUGUUGAUUAAAUUUGUUGAUUGUUAUUGUUGCUAUGAAUUUGGUACUUGAAAUUUGGGAAUUAAACAACGUUUUGGGGGUUUAGGUAUUUUCUCAAACCAACGGUUUUGAACCGAACCGAAUCAAAUCGAAUGGGUUCAGUUUGAUUCGAUUCUUCACUAAAUUCGAUUCAAUUUUGGUUGGCAUUUUGUAGGAAAUCGGUUUUUUAAUUUCAGUUCGGUUCAGAACCAAACCGAUCGAAUCUUUCCUGUAAUUUAAGGUGCUAUGCUAUUUUGCCCCAACUUCAAAAAUAUAUUUUUAUAUUAAAAUAAUUUUUUAUGUAAAUAUCAAAAGAAGUGUUUGCCUUGAAAAAUAGACUAUUUAUUACACAAUUUUAAUUUUUUUUAAAUAUUAACAAAUAAUAUUUAACAUUUAAAAAAAUGCACAUAUAUAAAUAUAAUUUUUAAUAAUUUAUAAAAUCCCUUACACCUGCCCAAUUCCUAAGGUGGGAAGGGGAAUUGCAAAACCUGCCACAAUUAGGGCAAAGCAUUAUUGGGUUUUAAUCGAAAUGAAUUGAUUUAAUUUGAUUUUUCAAUUUUAUUUUAAAAAAAAAUUUGGUUCUUCAAUUUGGUUCAAUUAGUUUGGUCAAAAAACCGAAUUAAUUGAAUCGACCGAUAUAUUAUACUAUGUCGUUUCUUACUGCCUAUAGAUUACCCACACUGCUACUCACUCCAUAAUCCAACCAUUGCGCACAAAGAUAACA
rnacentral:misc_RNA from 1 species